CAGCAGCCGCGGUAAUACGUAGGUGGCAAGCGUUGUCCGGAAUUAUUGGGCGUAAAGCGCGCGCAGGCGGAUAGGUCAGUCUGUCUUAAAAGUUCGGGGCUUAACCCCGUGAUGAGAUGGAAACUGCCAAUCUAGAGUAUCGGAGAGGGAAGUGGAAUUCCUAGUGUAGCGGUGAAAUGCGUAGAUAUUAGGAAGAACACCAGUGGCGAAGGCGACUUUCUGGACGAAAACUGACGCUGAGGCGCGAAAGCCAGGGGAGCGAACGGGAUUAGAUACCCCUGUAGUCCCUGUCUCUUAUACC
rnacentral:rRNA from 1 species